rnacentral:rRNA from 1 species
GAUGAACGCUGGCGGCGUGCCUAAUACAUGCAAGUCGAGCGAAGCGGGGACGGGUGAGUAACACGUGGAUAACCUCCUAUAGACCGGGAUUACCUCCGGAAACCGGUAUCAAUCCGGACUCAUUUAGCUGGAUUCGCCCUGCAUUAGCUUGUUGGUAAGGUAACGGUGUACCAAGGCAACGAUGCAUAGCCGACCUGAGAGGGUGAUCGGCCACACUGGAACUGAGACACGGUCCAGACUCCUACGGGAGGCAGCAGUAGGGAAUCUUCCGAAAUGGGCGAAAGCCUGACGGAGAAACGCCGCGUGAGUGAUGAAGGUCUUCGGAUCGUAAAACUCUGUUAUUAGGGAAGCGGUACCUAAUCAGAAAGCCACGGCUAACUACGUGCCAGCAGCCGCGGUAAUAC